GCGGUAUACGUAGGGUCCGAGCGUUGUCCGGAAUUACUGGGCGUAAAGAGCUCGUAGGUGGUUUGUCGCGUUGUUCGUGAAAACUCACAGCUUAACUGUGGGCGUGCGGGCGAUACGGGCAGACUAGAGUACUGCAGGGGAGACUGGAAUUCCUGGUGUAGCGGUGGAAUGCGCAGAUAUCAGGAGGAACACCGGUGGCGAAGGCGGGUCUCUGGGCAGUAACUGACGCUGAGGAGCGAAAGCGUGGGGAGCGAACAGGAUUAGAUACCCUGGUAGUCCACGCCGUAAACGGUGGGUACUAGGUGUGGGUUCCUUCCUUGGGAUCCGUGCCGUAGCUAACGCAUUAAGUACCCCGCCUGGGGAGUACGGCCGCAAGGCUAAAACUCAAAGGAAUUGACGGGGGCCCGCACAAGCGGCGGAGCAUGUGGAUUAAUUCGAUGCAACGCGAAGAACCUUACCUGGGUUUGACAUGCACAGGACGCCGGCAGAGAUGUCGGUUCCCUUGUGGCCUGUGUGC
rnacentral:rRNA from 1 species